rnacentral:tRNA from 1 species
AUUUUGCUAGUAUAAUGUUGUAUUCUUAACUUCCAAUUAAGGGGUCUGAUAUUGAGUCAGGCGAAUUA